rnacentral:rRNA from 1 species
UGGGGAAUUUUGGACAAUGGGGGAAACCCUGAUCCAGCCAUCCCGCGUGUGCGAUGAAGGCCUUCGGGUUGUAAAGCACUUUUGGCAGGAAAGAAACGUCGCGGGUUAAUACCCCGCGAAACUGACGGUACCUGCAGAAUAAGCACCGGCUAACUACGUGCCAGCAGCCGCGGUAAUACGUAGGGUGCAAGCGUUAAUCGGAAUUACUGGGCGUAAAGCGUGCGCAGGCGGUUCGGAAAGAAAGAUGUGAAAUCCCAGGGCUUAACUUUGGAACUGCAUUUUUAACUACCGGGCUAGAGUGUGUCAGAGGGAGGUGGAAUUCCGCGUGUAGCAGUGAAAUGCGUAGAUAUGCGGAGGAACACCGACGGCGAAGGCAGCCUCCUGGGAUAACACUGACGCUCAUGCACGAAAGCGUGGGGAGCAAACAGGAUUAGAUACCCUGGUAGUCCACGCCCUAAACGAUGUCAACUAGCUGUUGGGGGCCUUCGGGCCUUGGUAGCGCAGCUAACGCGUGAAGUUGACCGCCUGGGGAGUACGGUCGCAAGAUUAAAACUCAAAUGAAUUGAC